UGAGUACGGCGGGACACGUGAAACCCCGUCGGAACCCGCGAGGACCAUCUCGCAAGGCUAAAUACUCCCUAGUGACCGAUAGUGAACCAGUACCGUGAGGGAAAGGUGAAAAGCACCCCGGAAGGGGAGUGAAAUAGUUCCUGAAACCAUGUGCUUACAAGCUGUCGGAGCCCGUUAAUGGGUGACGGCGUGCCUCUUGCAGAAUGAACCGGCGAGUUACGAUUGCAUGCAAGGUUAAGGUGGAAAAACCGGAGCCGUAGCGAAAGCGAGUCUUAAAUGGGCGUAAGAAGUAUGUAGUUGUAGACCCGAAAUCAGGUGACCUACCCAUGUCCAGGUUGAAGGUGCGGUAAAGCGCACUGGAGGACCGAACCCGUGUCAGUUGAAAAUGGCUGGGAUGAGGUGUGGGUAGCGGUGAAAUUCCAAACGAACUUGGAGAUAGCUGGUUCUCUCCGAAAUCUCUUUAGGGGGAGCCUUGAGGUAAAGAAUCGUGGAGGUAGAGCUACUGUUUGGACAAGGGGCCCGUCAUGGGUUACCAACUUCAGAUAAACUCCGAAUGCCAUCGAUUUAUACUCAGGAGUCAGACGAUGAGUGAUAAGAUCCACCGUCGAAAGGGGAACAGCCCAGAUCACCAGUUAAGGUCCCUAAAUAUAUGCUAAGUGGAAAAGGAUGUGGAGUUGCAUAGACAACUAGGAUGUUGGCUUAGAAGCAGCCMCAUUUAAAGAGUGCGUAAUAGCUCA
rnacentral:rRNA from 2 species